AAAGAGGAAACCCUCCCUCUCUCCCCUGCCAGCCGCCUCUCACUCUUCUCCCUUAGCUGCCAGCCCCUCUCCCUUCUCCCCUCCAUCCCUUAGUCGUCACCUCCCCUCCCUUCUUCCCCUUUCCCCUUCCGCUUCCCCUCCCCUUUCUCCCUUACCGUUUCUCUCCCCCUUUCUUUCCAACACCUCCCCUCCCUCUUCUCUUCUCCCUUCCCUCUCCUUGCAGCCCCUUCUCUACCUCCCUUUUCCCGGUGACAUCCAUCAGGAAACCCAGCAGCAGCCGAAACAACAGCCGGACAGCAACCCCACCAGCAGCAACUCCGACGAGAGCAGCUCCAGCAGUCGAGUCCAUCAGCAACAACAACUCCAACCAGCAGCGGCCAGAAAUCGACAACACAGCAGGCGAGGCGGACAGCAGCUUGUAACAGCCAGCGAAGACAGCUGCGAGGCAGCGAACCACCGGUAAUAGCAGUCUGGUGAGGAGCGGAAGCACCAAACGGCGGAGGCUGGACUUUCUUCCCUUCUCUCUUUAUCCUCUUCGUCCAGCAGCUCGAGGAGACACCACCAGCAACCACUCAUCCCCAGCGAAGCUCCAAAAUAUUGACGAACAGGGAACAACAGAUCAGGUACACAGAGGUGCUUCGCCUUGAAAUUAUUCGAAAAGUUCGAAUUAUAUUUUUAUUUCAUUAUUUUGUAAAUAUUGACGUUAGGCAAACUGUAGGCCGAUUAUUAUUUUAUUUUAUUGUGUAUAUUGUGUGUUUAUUAUAUGUGUUUAUUUUAUAUUCUUCCUCAAUUUGAAAAAAAAUGAAUUCAGUCGGGAACCACAUUUGUGGAUUCCGAAGGGUGCCUAACCACUUCCCUUCGGAAUAACUUGAACCCCUUAUCUAGAAUCAAUUUGGUUUUCUAGAUUAAUAAUUGGUUUCCUAGUUUUUCUAAAAUUAGGUGGCGACUCUUUUUAAAACUCAUUUAUUUUAAAACUUUGUUAAAAUUGAAUCAAUUAAUUAUUUUCGAGUUGCAGCGACGUUUCGCCCUAUUUCGGCAGAGUAGGGAUGUAAACAGAAUGGCGACUCUGCUGGGGAGUUUAGAGGUUCUAACCAAUAUGAAUUUAUAUUUUUUCAAAUUGAGGAAAUUUUUUUCUAUUGUUAUGUUAUAGCUUGUAUUUUUAUUUUGUUGAUUAUUUGUAUAUUGUAUUUAUUCAUUAUUCAUUUUAUUGCGUGUAUAUUAUCAUUGCAUUUCAUGGAAUAAUUCCCGUCAAAACGACAAAUAGUUUGCAUUAGGACAAAGGAAGUUACGUGGCUUACCACGGCUUCCUUCAGAAAAACACACAAGUCUAAUCUUUGAAAGUAAUAAACGAAUAGUUGGCUUGCAGUCAUUCAACGUCGUUUAUUAGCUUCACCCCGUUGUCUGUCCGACUCGGGUAACCGUCACUUCUAUACCAAUUCUAGUCAUCCUAGGAUAGAGCAAAAUCAAAUCCGAAUUUAAGCAUUAGCCUAAGAUGACCCGACACCCAAGGCGUGUUGAGCCCAUUAGAAGACCACCUUGAGUCCAAAACGGCCCACGGCCUAAAUGGACGUUCAUACUUAUGUGUUUAAAUUUGAAGGAUGUAUAUGUUGUUUGAGAAAAUUAUUGUCUCAUAGUGUAACGAUUAGAUUAUAGUUUGCUUAGGUUAAAGAAAUAGCUUCACCAGCUACUAGCCUAUUCGAAGAUAUUGCCACCCGAAGAUGACAACAAAUCAAGAAAGCAGAAGGAUCUUUAAUGGAGGCAUAGUUUAGGGUCGUACCCCUGCGUGGGACUGAUUAUUUUAUAUAAGUUUUCCCUAUUAUGUAUUCCCAUUAGGUUUUAUUCAUAAAAUUUGUAUAAAUUUGAGUUUUGGGGCAAUGAAAUAUUUCAAAUGACGUAUGCAUCCUUCAAAUCGAUAGGCCUACCCUAGGCAUAAAAGGGUCACAUAUUUGUAUAGGGCGCGCAAUAAUUGUUUGUAUGCUAUGUGAUAUAUUAGGUUUAUCUUUAAUUAAAACAGUAAUUAUGUGCUUUAUUCAUUAUUUGUGUGAUAUUUUGCAUUAUUCAUUAUGUACAUGAACUAACACUUUUACAUUUUGAGUUGUUCUUCUUCAAAGCAAAAUGUUGAUUUAUGUCCGAAUUCAGAAAUUAUUAUUUGUCCAAAGUGGCAAGACACAAGAAGAUUAGAAAAAUUACAGUCCUUGCAUUUCUCAAUUAUAUCAAGUCAAAACGAUAAAUCAGGGGAGUAUUUGACUAUGAGGUCGUAUCCACUUAUUUUUAUUAUUAUUUUGCAUGACGGUCCUGCUCUCACAUAUUUCUCAUAUUUUUGUAGGGAUACCGUCCCCGACAUCAGUCGGGGAUGGUCAUAACUAUGUCUGGAUCUCGUGAAAAUUGGAAGGAGACAAAGAUCCAAGAAAACAUCCAAAAGAGUACAACAAAUCAUUACUGUAGAAAUUCGUAGGGUACAUUCAACAUACAGUAUAAAUAUUGACGAUUAAGAGGCUAUAAAACAUAUUGGUGCGGGAAAAAAAAAAGCACUUCAUGACUACAAAUUUCAGUGGCGUUAAACCUAGGAAUUUCUUUGAGUUGUCUAAA